GAUUUCCGAAUGGGGAAACCCAGUGUGACUCGUCACACUAUCAUUAACUGAAUCCAUAGGUUAAUGAGGCGAACCGGGGGAACUGAAACAUCUAAGUACCCCGAGGAAAAGAAAUCAACCGAGAUUCCCCCAGUAGCGGCGAGCGAACGGGGAGGAGCCCAGAGCCUGAAUCAGCAUGUGUGUUAGUGGAAGCGUCUGGAAAGGCGCGCGAUACAGGGUGACAGCCCCGUACACAAAAGCGCAUGUGCUGUGAGCUCGAUGAGUAGGGCGGGACACGUGGUAUCCUGUCUGAAUAUGGGGGGACCAUCCUCCAAGGCUAAAUACUCCUGACUGACCGAUAGUGAACCAGUACCGUGAGGGAAAGGCGAAAAGAACCCCGGCGAGGGGAGUGAAAAAGAACCUGAAACCGU
rnacentral:rRNA from 1 species